GACAGAGGUGCCGAGCGUUAGGCGGAAUCACUGGGCUUAAAGCGUGUGUAGGCGGGUCGUUAAGUGUCUUGUGAAAUCCCACGGCUCACCCGUGGAACUGCUUGGCAUACUGCGAGCCUUGAGCCACUUAGGGGCAACCGGAACAAACGGUGGAGCGGUGAAAUGCGUAGAUAUCGUUUGGAACGCCAAUGGUGAAAACAGGUUGCUGGGAGUGCGCUGACGCUGAGACACGAAAGCCAGGGGAGCGAACGGG
rnacentral:rRNA from 1 species